GUGCUCGCUUCGGCAGCACAUAUACUAAACUUGGAAUGAUGCAGAGAAGAUUAGCAUGGCCCCUGCUCAAAGAUGACACACAAAUUCAUGAAGCAUUCCAUAUUUUU
rnacentral:snRNA from 1 species